UACAGAGGGGGCAAGCGUUGUUCGGAAUUACUGGGCGUAAAGGGCGCGUAGGCGGCCUGUUAAGUCGAACGUGAAAUCCCCGGGCUCAACCCGGGAACUGCGUCCGAUACUGGCAGGCUUGAAUUCGGGAGAGGGAUGCGGAAUUCCAGGUGUAGCGGUGAAAUGCGUAGAUAUCUGGAGGAACACCGGUGGCGGAAGGCGGCAUCCUGGACCGAGAUUGACGCUGAGGCGCGAAAGCCAGGG
rnacentral:rRNA from 1 species